UACGUAGGGUGCGAGCGUUGUCCGGAAUUACUGGGCGUAAAGAGUGUGUAGGCGGUUCUCCAAGUCUGGUGUGAAAUCUCCCGGCUUAACUGGGAGGGUGCAUUAGAAACUGGAAUGCUAGAGGAUGGGAGAGGUAAGCGGAAUUCCUGGUGUAGCGGUGAAAUGCGUAGAUAUCAGGAGGAACACCUGUGGUGUAGACAGCUUACUGGACCAUUUCUGACGCUGAGACACGAAAGCGUGGGUAGCAAACAGG
rnacentral:rRNA from 1 species